rnacentral:rRNA from 1 species
UUCCAGACUCCUACGGGAGGCAGCAGUGGGGGAUAUUGCACAAUGGGGGGAACCCUGAUGCAGCGACGCCGCGUGGGUGAAGGAGCGUUUCGGCGCGUAAAGCCCUAUCGGCAGGGAAGAAGGAGGACGGUACCUGACUAAGAAGCCCCGGCUAACUACGUGCCAGCAGCCGCGGGAAUACGUAGGGGGCAAGCGUUAUCCGGAUUUACUGGGUGUAAAGGGAGCGCAGGCGGCGCGCCAAGUCUGAUGUGAAACCCCGGGGCUCAACCCCGGGCAUGCAUUGGAAACUGGCGGGCUGGAGUGCCGGAGAGGUAAGCGGAAUUCCUAGUGUAGCGGUGAAAUGCGUAGAUAUUAGGAGGAACACCAGUGGCGAAGGCGGCUUACUGGACGGCAACUGACGCUGAGGCUCGAAAGCGUGGGGAGCAAACAGGAUUAGAUACCCGUGUAA